UACGUAGGGUCCGAGCGUUGUCCGGAAUUAUUGGGCGUAAAGGGCUCGUAGGCGGUUUGUCGCGUCGGGAGUGAAAACACCGGGCUUAACUCGGUGCUUGCUUUCGAUGACGGGCAGACUGGAGGUAUGCAGGGGAGAACGGAAUCCUGGUGUAGCGGUGAAAUGCGCAGAUAUCAGGAGGAACACCGGUGGCGAAGGCGGUUCUCUGGGCAUUACCUGACGCUGAGGAGCGAAAGUGUGGGGAGCGAACAGG
rnacentral:rRNA from 1 species